AAUUGAACUGAUUUUAUUGAACUG
rnacentral:piRNA from 1 species